UGUAGUACAUACAUACAUAUGU
rnacentral:miRNA from 1 species